rnacentral:rRNA from 1 species
GGGACACGUGGUAUCCUGUCUGAAUAUGGGGGGACCAUCCUCCAAGGCUAAAUACUCCUGACUGACCGAUAGUGAACCAGUACCGUGAGGGAAAGGCGAAAAGAACCCCGGCGAGGGGAGUGAAAAAGAACCUGAAACCGUGUACGUACAAGCAGUGGGAGCACGCUUAGGCGUGUGACUGCGUACCUUUUGUAUAAUGGGUCAGCGACUUAUAUUCUGUAGCAAGGUUAACCGAAUAGGGGAGCCGAAGGGAAACCGAGUCUUAACUGGGCGUUAAGUUGCAGGGUAUAGACCCGAAACCCGGUGAUCUAGCCAUGGGCAGGUUGAAGGUUGGGUAACACUAACUGGAGGACCGAACCGACUAAUGUUGAAAAAUUAGCGGAUGACUUGUGGCUGGGGGUGAAAGGCCAAUCAAACCGGGAGAUAGCUGGUUCUCCCCGAAAGCUAUUUAGGUAGCGCCUCGUGAAUUCAUCUCCGGGGGUAGAGCACUGUUUCGGCAAGGGGGUCAUCCCGACUUACCAACCCGAUGCAAACUGCGAAUACCGGAGAAUGUUAUCACGGGAGACACACGGCGGGUGCUAACGUCCGUCGUGAAGAGGGAAACAACCCAGACCGCCAGCUAAGGUCCCAAAGUCAUGGUUAAGUGGGAAACGAUGUGGGAAGGCCCAGACAGCCAGGAUGUUGGCUUAGAAGCAGCCAUCAUUUAAAGAAAGCGUAAUAGCUCACUGGUCGAGUCGGCCUGCGCGGAAGAUGUAACGGGGCUAAACCAUGCACCGAAGCUGCGGCAGCGACGCUUAUGCGUUGUUGGGUAGGGGAGCGUUCUGUAAGCCUGUGAAGGUGUGCUGUGAGGCAUGCUGGAGGUAUCAGAAGUGCGAAUGCUGACAUAAGUAACGAUAAAGCGGGUGAAAAGCCCGCUCGCCGGAAGACCAAGGGUUCCUGUCCAACGUUAAUCGGGGCAGGGUGAGUCGACCCCUAAGGCGAGGCCGAAAGGCGUAGUCGAUGGGAAACAGGUUAAUAUUCCUGUACUUGGUGUUACUGCGAAGGGGGGACGGAGAAGGCUAUGUUGGCCGGGCGACGGUUGUCCCGGUUUAAGCGUGUAGGCUGGUUUUCCAGGCAAAUCCGGAAAAUCAAGGCUGAGGCGUGAUGACGAG